AUACCUACCUGGCGUCGAGAUACCGUGAUCAUGCAGGCGUUUCCCCCGGGGUGAGGCUGCUCCAUUGCACUGCGGAGUGGUUGACCCUUGCGAUUAUUUUUAUAUUUUAUAAGUUUCAUUUCUACCGUGUGUGACUUGCACACA
rnacentral:snRNA from 9 species